rnacentral:rRNA from 1 species
GAUGAACGCUGGCGGCGUGCUUAACACAUGCAAGUCGAACGAUGAAGCCCAGCUUGCUGGGUGGAUUAGUUGCGAACGGGUGAGUAACACGUGAGUAACCUGCACUUAACUCUGGGAUAAGCCUUGGAAACUGGGUCUAAUACCUGAUAGGAGCGACCACCGCAUGGUGGGAGUUGGAAAGAUUUAUCGGUUUUGGAUAGACUUGCGGCCUAUCAGCUUGUUCGUGAUGUAAUGGCACACCAAGGCGACGACGGGUAGCCGGCCUGAGAGGGUGACCGGCCACACUGGGACUGAGACACGGCCCAGACUCCUACGGGAGACAGCAGUGGGGAAUAUUGCACAAUGGGCGCAAGCCUGAUGCAGCGACGCCGCGUGAGGAAUGACGGCCUUCGGGUUGUAAACCUCUUUCAGUAGGGAAGAAGCGAUAGUGACGGUACCUGCAGAAGAAGCACCGGCUAACUACGUG